rnacentral:rRNA from 1 species
UACACUCCUGCGGGAGGCAGCAGUGGGGAAUAUUGCACAAUGGGCGCCAGCCUGAUGCAGCCAUGCCGCGUGUAUGAAGAAGGCCUUCGGGUUGUAAAGUACUUUCAGCGGGGAGGAAGGCAAUACGGUUAAUAACCGUGUUGAUUGACGUUACCCGCAGAAGAAGCACCGGCUAACUCCGUGCCAGCAGCCGCGGUAAUACGGAGGGUGCAAGCGUUAAUCGGAAUUACUGGGCGUAAAGCGCACGCAGGCGGUCUGUCAAGUCGGAUGUGAAAUCCCCGGGCUCAACCUGGGAACUGCAUUCGAAACUGGCAGGCUUGAGUCUUGUAGAGGGGGGUAGAAUUCCAGGUGUAGCGGUGAAAUGCGUAGAGAUCUGGAGGAAUACCGGUGGCGAAGGCGGCCCCCUGGACAAAGACUGACGCUCAGGUGCGAAAGCGUGGGGAGCAAACAGGAUUAGAUACCCCUGUAGUCCCAUG